ACUCCUACGGGAGGCAGCAGUAGGGAAUCUUCCACAAUGGACGAAAGUCUGAUGGAGCAACGCCGCGUGAGUGAAGAAGGGUUUCGGCUCGUAAAACUCUGUUGUUAAAGAAGAACAUAUCUGAGAGUAACUGUUCAGGUAUUGACGGUAUUUAACCUAGAAAGCCACGGCUAACUACGUGCCAGCAGCCGCGGUAAUACGUAGGUGGCAAGCGUUGUCCGGAUUUAUUGGGGCGUAAAGCGAGCGCAGGCGGUUUUUAAGUUCUGAUAUGAAAGCCUUCGGCUCAACCGAAGAAGUGCAUCGGAAACUGGGAAACUUGAGUGCAGAAGAGGACAGUGGAACUCCAUGUGUAGCGGUGAAAUGCGUAGAUAUAUGGAAGAACACCAGUGGCGAAGGCGGCUGUCUGGUCUGUAACUGACGCUGAGGCUCGAAAGUAUGGGUAGCAAACAGGAUUAGAUACCCUGGUAGGUAGCG
rnacentral:rRNA from 1 species